GAUGAACGCUAGCGGCAGGCCUAACACAUGCAAGUCGAGGGGUAACAUAGAGAAGCUUGCUUCUUUGAUGACGACCGGCGCACGGGUGCGUAACGCGUAUACAAUCUGCCUUACACUGGGGGAUAGCCUUUAGAAAUGAAGAUUAAUACCCCAUGGUAUCACGCCAUCGCAUGGUGGAGUGAUUAAAGGUUACGGUGUAAGAUGAGUAUGCGUCCUAUUAGCUUGUUGGUGUGGUAACGGCACACCAAGGCUACGAUAGGUAGGGGCCCUGAGAGGGGGAUCCCCCACACUGGUACUGAGACACGGACCAGACUCCUACGGGAGGCAGCAGUGAGGAAUAUUGGACAAUGGGCGAGAGCCUGAUCCAGCCAUGCCGCGUGCAGGAAGACUGCCCCUAUGGGUUUGUAAAACUGCUUUUAUACGGGAAGAAACACUCCUUCGAGCAAGGAGCUUGACGGUACCGUACGAAUAAGGAUCGGCUAACUCCGUGCCA
rnacentral:rRNA from 1 species